CCCUAUUAUUUUGAGUGUUAAUGUUUUUACCUGAGUAGUAUUAGUUGUGUUCUUGAAACUUAAAGAAUUUGGCGGUAUCUUACUCCGUUCAGAGGAAUCUGUCUCGUUAUCGAUAGUCCGCGUUGGACCUUACUUGGGAUUAAAUUUUGGUUUGUAUACCGCCGUUUAUUGAUUAUCUUUUUAGAGUUUCUGAAUUUUCUGGUUUCUUUAAUUUGAUUUAUUGCAGGUCAAGGUGCAGCUUUUUCUAAGUGUAAUGAUGGAUUACAGUGUUAUGUGUUGUUUGGAUUGUUUGGUUUGAAUAUUGGCAUGAAAUUGGAUUUGGUUGUAAUGUUUUGUAGAUUGUUUUCAUGAUAGUUGGUUCUAGGAUAUGUACACAUCGCCCGUCGCUCUCAUUUAAGUUAUUGGUGAGAUAAGUC
rnacentral:rRNA from 1 species